UAAUUCCUUCGAUGUUGAU
rnacentral:misc_RNA from 1 species